rnacentral:rRNA from 1 species
GAUGUCCUACGGGGCGCAGCAGUGGGGAAUAUUGCACAAUGGGGGAAACCCUGAUGCAGCGACGCCGCGUGAGCGAUGAAGUAUUUCGGUAUGUAACGCUCUAUCAGCAGGGAAGAAAAUGACGGUACCUGACUAAGAAGCACCGGCUAACUACGUGCCAGCAGCCGCGGUAAUACGUAGGGGGCCAGCGUUAUCCGGAUUUACUGGGUGUAAAGGGAGCGUGGACGGUUCUGCAAGCCAGAUGUGAAAGCCCGGGGCUCAACCCCGGGACUGCACUUG